UACGAGGGGGGCUAGCGUUGCUCGGAAUCACUGGGCGUAAAGCGCACGUAGGCGGCUUUUUAAGUCAGGGGUGAAAUCCUGGAGCUCAACUCCAGAACUGCCUUUGAUACUGGGAAGCUCGAGUCCGGGAGAGGUGAGUGGAACUCCGAGUGUAGAGGUGAAAUUCGUAGAUAUUUGGAAGAACACCAGUGGCGAAGGCGGCUCACUGGCCCGGUACUGACGCUGAGGUGCGAAAGCGUGGGGAGCAAACAGG
rnacentral:rRNA from 1 species